rnacentral:rRNA from 1 species
GACGAACGCUGGCGGCGUGCUUAACACAUGCAAGUCGAACGGAAAGGCCCUGCUUUUGUGGGGUGCUCGAGUGGCGAACGGGUGAGUAACACGUGAGUAACCUGCCCUUGACUUUGGGAUAACUUCAGGAAACUGGGGCUAAUACCGGAUAGGAGCUCCUGCUGCAUGGUGGGGGUUGGAAAGUUUCGGCGGUUGGGGGUGGACUCGCGGCUUAUCAGCUUGUUGGUGGGGUAGUGGCUUACCAAGGCUUUGACGGGUAGCCGGCCUGAGAGGGUGACCGGCCACAUUGGGACUGAGAUACGGCCCAGACUCCUACGGGAGGCAGCAGUGGGGAAUAUUGCACAAUGGGCGGAAGCCUGAUGCAGCAACGCCGCGUGCGGGAUGACGGCCUUCGGGUUGUAAACCGCUUUCGCCUGUGACGAAGCGUGAGUGACGGUAAUGGGUAAAGAAGCUCCGGCUAACUACGUG